UGUGGGAGCGGGCUUGCCCGCGAUAGCGGCUAAUCAGUCGACAUCUAUGUCGCUGACCCACCGCAAUCGCGGGCAAGCCCGCUCCCACA
rnacentral:misc_RNA from 1 species